rnacentral:lncRNA from 1 species
AAAGAAAGAAGAUAAGGAGGAAGUAGACCCAAUCCCUGUCACCAGCUGAAGAGCUCUGAAUGACGCGAGGUCCGUGGACUGAUUUCUCGCCUUCACCAGAUGAGCCAGUGCUCCUUCCAAGCCCCGUAUCUGCAAUGGCGACAGACAAUUCUCACGGGUGUCAAUACUUGUAGGCACCUUCUGCCUUGAUGCCUCCUUUCCAGGGUUCCUGAGGAAGGGCAGUGACUGGGGGCCUGGAACCAGUCAAGGGUGGAAAGGCGAUGCAGAACUGUCUUGACCUCGUGCCCCAUACACCCUGGAGAUAAGAGCAUAAACUGGAAGUUAGCAGACCCCUUUUCCCUUCAGAGUACACAAAGAAGCCUUCCCCCUUCAUUCCUAGGAAGGGGCGGGUUAUUACCAGAGUCAGUCGGUAAAGGGAAGUGGGAGGGGUGGGAGGUUGGAGAAAGAGAUAUAAAGUUCACCUAAGAUAAUUAAGAGUCAGGCCUUGUAGACAUUUAGCCACCUUAUGCCGGGGUAUCCCUUAACUCGUGAACACAGAAGAGAUUAUGUCUCGGACCCACACAAUGGCUCAUACCUACAGUCCCAGCACCCACAAAACAAGUGUAGUGUGUAAAGGCUGCAUGUGUACAGGCUCCUGUGCAUGUAUGUAUACAGAUUGUGUAAUUUUUUUCCCCUAGGGACUCAAUAGAUCUUGAUAAUCCACAGGAGAACAUUAAGGCCACCCAGCUC